AAAAAAAAAAAAAAAAAUACAAAGGAAGCAAGUAAAUCUUAGUCAAAAUGCACGAGAUAAGUGUUCAUUGGCAUAACUAUAUAAUUGUUGCGCUAGCAACACCAGAAAAUAGAAAUCAUUCAUUCAAAAUUUUUGUUUAAUUGCCUUAAAACACCAAGCUUGCAUAGAGAAAGCGUACAAGCAUGGGCAUGAGCACAUCGAGACUAUAAAAUAUAGACACUGAAUAAUUCCACAACCUUAACUCCAAAUGAGAUUUAGAUAAAUGAUAAUCUAAAGUAUAUCAGCAUUAUGACAAUAAAAUAAAAUGGUCACAGGGCAUGACGAUAGUCAACAUGCACGAUGCUUGAAUGAAUACAUUUACAUUGGAUUAAUAAUUUUGCCCUCAGGAAGCAUGUUAAUUUCAGAGAGAAAAUAUGUACACAGAUAAAAGGGAAAGAUAAUGGAGAAAAUUCUAAACUAACAUAAGGGGGGAAAAAAAAAAUCUUACGGUGCCAUCCAGCGGU
rnacentral:misc_RNA from 1 species